AGCGAACGCUGGCGGCAGGCCUAACACAUGCAAGUCGAACGGACCCUUCGGGGUUAGUGGCGGACGGGUGAGUAACACGUGGGAACGUGCCUUUAGGUUCGGAAUAGCUCCUGGAAACGGGUGGUAAUGCCGAAUGUGCCCUUCGGGGGAAAGAUUUAUCGCCUUUAGAGCGGCCCGCGUCUGAUUAGCUAGUUGGUGAGGUAAUGGCUCACCAAGGCGACGAUCAGUAGCUGGUCUGAGAGGAUGACCAGCCACAUUGGGACUGAGACACGGCCCAAACUCCUACGGGAGGCAGCAGUGGGGAAUCUUGCGCAAUGGGCGAAAGCCUGACGCAGCCAUGCCGCGUGAAUGAUGAAGGUCUUAGGAUUGUAAAAUUCUUUCACCGGGGACGAUAAUGACGGUACCCGGAGAAGAAGCCCCGGCUAACUUCGUGCCAGCAGCCGCCGCGGUAA
rnacentral:rRNA from 1 species